GAGAGUUAAACAGUACGUGAAAUUGUUGAAAGGGAAACGAUUGAAGCCAGUCGUACCUUCGGGUAAUCAGCCUUUCGGGUGCGAUUAUGUGGAGUGUGAGGAGCUUAAACACCUUCAUGUUUUGCAUAUUCGUACUCUUGGGUGUACUUGCCCGUGUGGUUGGUUAACAUCAAUUUUGGUGGUCAUAAAAUGACUGGAGGAAUGUAGCUUCGAUCUCGUAUUGAAGUGUUAUAGCCUUCGGUAGAUGUGAUGAUCGAGAUUGAGGAUUGCAACGGAUACCUUUCGGGGCUACCUGUCUGAUCUCUGAUUGUUGCUUUGGUGCUGAAAGCGUGCUUAUAGUUAUCAAAGUCGAUGGUCAAUAGGUUAGAAUGGGUUAAAUUCGUUAAGGAUGUUGACGUAAUGGCUUUAAACGA
rnacentral:rRNA from 1 species